ACGGAAGGCAGCAGUGGGGAAUAUUGCACAAUGGGGGAAACCCUGAUGCAGCGACGCCGCGUGAGCGAUGAAGUAUUUCGGUAUGUAAAGCUCUAUCAGCAGGGAAGAUAAUGACGGUACCUGACUAAGAAGCUCCGGCUAAAUACGUGCCAGCAGCCGCGGUAAUACGUAUGGAGCAAGCGUUAUCCGGAUUUACUGGGUGUAAAGGGAGCGCAGGCGGUCUAGCAAGUCUGAAGUGAAAACCCAGGGCUCAACCUUGGGACUGCUUUGGAAACUGUUGGACUAGAGUGUCGGAGGGGUAAGUGGAAUUCCUAGUGUAGCGGUGAAAUGCGUAGAUAUUAGGAGGAACACCAGUGGCGAAGGCGGCUUACUGGACGACAACUGACGCUGAGGCUCGAAAGCGUGGGGAGCAAACAGGAUUAGAUACCCUGGUA
rnacentral:rRNA from 1 species